rnacentral:rRNA from 1 species
GUGGGGAAUAUUGGGCAAUGGGCGCAAGCCUGACCCAGCAACGCCGCGUGAAGGAAGAAGGCUUUCGGGUUGUAAACUUCUUUUACCAGGGACGAAAAAAAUGACGGUACCUGGAGAAUAAGCCACGGCUAACUACGUGCCAGCAGCCGCGGUAAUACGUAGGUGGCAAGCGUUGUCCGGAUUUACUGGGUGUAAAGGGCGCGUAGGCGGGAGAGCAAGUCAGGAGUGAAAUCUAUGGGCUUAACCCAUAAAUUGCUUUUGAAACUGUUUUUCUUGAGUGAUGGAGAGGCAAGCGGAAUUCCUAGUGUAGCGGUGAAAUGCGUAGAUAUUAGGAGGAACACCAGUGGCGAAGGCGGCUUGCUGGACAUUAACUGACGCUGAUGCGCGAAAGCGUGGGGAGCAAACAGGAUUAGAUACCCCAGUAGUCC